rnacentral:tRNA from 1 species
GGGCAUGUGGCUCAGUGCUAAAGUAUCUGCUUGGCAUGCCGAAGUUCCCAGGUUCCCUGGCAUAUCCA